GGGGAUGAUAGGUUUCGACGGAGGAGGGCGAUCGCGAGCUGCAAGCCGAGAGGCGCCGACCUCGCUAACUCAGCGCGACACACAAGUGCCAAUCGCACGAGCUACGCUGCUCUUCCACUGGCGGCCUAACCCCGUUAGUGGCUGAGCGCGGCCCCCCAGAGGGGCCCGCCGCCCCAAGCUGCUCCCGGCAAGCGAGGGGACCGGCGACAGAUGGUCGGGAUGCGGCGUGCGACGCCACGUAACACGCUCAAGGCAGGCCCUCGGGCCUGAGUGGCUGGCCGGCCGGACGCUUUGUCCCUCGAGCCCCGGUCGGUGAGACACGAUCGAUGGACUAGGCUUGUAGACGCUCGUUGAUCUAUUCUUUCGGACGCGGGUUCGAUUCCCGCCAUCUCCACCU
rnacentral:tmRNA from 1 species